GCUGAAUCUUUUUGACAGAUGUGCGCGCGUGUUUAUAAUAAAUAUUUACGAUCGUAAUAUUUUAUAAAUUUGUGGCAUUGUUCUUCGCAUUUCUGUCAUCGUCAAUAACGGAAUGAAGUCUAUACAAGAUGAAAGGAGCAUUAAUAAUGAAAGAAGUAAAUGGAAAAUAGACAAAUAUAUAUCAGAUAAAUAGCAAAUAUUCUCAUGAAAGAAAAGAUUAUCUUCCUAGCUAACCAGGAGUGCUUGUAAAAUGUCAGUAGCCAGAGGAACAAUAAGGAA